AAAGAGGACGUGAAACCGAUGAGGUGGAAACGGACAGAGCUGGCGUAUCUGGCCUGUAUUCAGCCGUGCGUCCGUUGGCGUCAGGGAUGCCGCUCUCCAGAUUGGGACGGUGGCCUGUCUGCUGGCGGAUGUGUGGUGCAUUUGCAGGUGGAGUGCGCUGAGGCGCUCGGGUCAGCGGCAUGAGCUCAGUGUUGAGGCCAGCCCCUCACGGGGUCUGGUACCCGCAUUGUGGGGAGUGCUGUUUGUCCUGGGUGUGUGGAGGGCAAUGGUUUCGGGUUCGUGUGGGUGCCGAGCUGGCAGUCGGUGGCGGUCGCGUGCGACACGUGCCAGCGGUCAGUUCGGUCCUGCUCGAGCUCUCAUCUGCUCGUCCUCGGUGUAAAAGCCGGUCAUCUGUCCGACCCGUCUUGAAACACGGACCAAGGAGUUUAGCGUGUGCGCGAGUCAUUGGGCGUUGAAAACCCAAAGGCGCAAUGAAAGUGAAGGUCUCCCUUGCGGAGCUGAUGUGUGAUCCUGGGCACUGCGGUGCACACCGGGCGCAACAUAGUCCCGUCCCGAUCGCUUGCGAUGG
rnacentral:rRNA from 1 species